rnacentral:lncRNA from 1 species
CCUAAAAGAUAAGAAAUAAAAAAAGACUAUAAUGCUAAUGGAAUGCGGUGAUGUGUGUGAGCAAAGCACUGCCCAAUAGAGCCUAUGGAAGAAAUGGAGAGAAGACAUUCAAUUAACAUUUGUGGAAAGGAACUAUUCCUACUGAUGGCUGGAUGUUGGGUUUGCAGCUUUUGCCUGGUUAGAUUUGGGUUCAAUUUCCCCCCAUCUCCUCCUUCUCCCAUCUGACUUGUGCUUGGGUGGUGGAUUAAUCACAGCGAACACUAACUGAAGGCCUAGUAUAUGCUAGAUUAGUCCUUCUCAAAGCUCGCCCCCCUCCACUCCCGACAGACUGUAGCAACAUCUCCUGAAAUGCAAAUUAGAAAGGCAAAUUCUUGAGCCUCGCCCCAGACGGACUGAUUCAGAAACUCCCGGCAUGGCCCAGUGACUAGUAUUUUAAUAAGUCCUCUGGCGACAUGAAUGCAUGCUAAAUCCAGUGUGUGCAGUGUUUUACCUGAGCGCCUCACUUAAUUCCACAAAAGCCUAAGGAAGCAGGGGUUAAGAGCUCUGAUUUACAGAGGAGAAACCAGUUCAGAGACGUUAGUGACUCAGCCCAGAUCCCCACCUGGCAAGGAACUCUGGGUCUGCGGGACCCCCUGCACCAUUGCCCUUCCCGCCACUGUCAAAACACCUCCCAGAAGUGGGUGUUUUUGUUCCCAGAGGGCUUCCCACGUGGGAGGCAGGAGUGACUGGUAAAGAUGGAGUAUUUCCCAAGCCUGGCUGAAUAGACCUGUUGUGGUGACGGAGGAUGACGACACCGUCAAUGACGCAUUGAGCUCCUACUGCUUGAAGGCAUUGUUUUAGAGGUUUUGCAAUUUAGCCUCCACCCAGCGUCAUUAUGGCGCUUUUACAGAGGAGAAAAAACUGAGGCUCAGAGAGGCUCCGGGACAAAAGCUCACAAGGCAAGGGGCAGGGCUCUGGCUCGCCCAGCUGGAAGGAUCUUUCCCUCGAAUAUACUUCCCUCUAGAAGCUACUUCUCCGAGUCAGGCACAUCUGGGCCUGGCUUCUCUGCACCCAGGCCCACUGUCCCUCCCAGCUCCCUGCCCAGGAAGACAGCCGGCUGGAACCCACCAGCGCGCGGGUGGCAAGAGCGAGAGACACCUGAGCCAGAGGUGCCCCAGAGGGACCUGGCAGCGGCCACACGAUGGCGCUGCGGUUCAGGAGACUGGGGUCCUGCCUGACACCGUCUCCGAGGACCGAAGACCAGGACGCAGGACCUUGGGGGGAUGGGACCCAUCAGAACAGAGCUGCCCUCGCAAAGGACUCGACCCCGAGGGCGCAGAAAGAGGUCGUUGAGAAUGCUCUUCCACUUCCACGGCACCGGGAUCCCUCUCCCCUCCGUCCUCCUUCCCGCCUGGGGAACCGAGGCCUCUACAGGGAGCGCAGGACCCCGCGGCUGGCCUGGGACUCCGCAGUGACUCUCAGGCAGCACCCAGGAAAACUGUUUCUCCCUUCCUGGCCCUCCCUUCCUCUUUCCCCCUCAGCUCCUCCCCGGCCCAGCCAGCCUGUCCCAGCCCACUGCUCUCAUAUAUUAUAAUUUUCAAAAAUUGAAAUAUAGUGGAUUUAACAAUAUUUUAUAACAUCGUGUUGGUUUCAGGUGCACUGAGUGAUUGACUUCUAUAUAUAUCUUUUUUCAGAGUAUUUUCCAUUAUAGGUCAUUAUAAGAUAUUGAAUAUGGUCAUUAUAAGAUAUUGAAUAUAGCUUAAAUUAUAAUUUAAGCAUGCUCACAAUUUGAAGGGUUUUUUGUUUUUGUGUUUUUUAGGGCUGCACCUGCGGCACAUGGAGGUUCCCAGGCUAGGGGUCUAAUCGGAGCUGUAGCCGCCGGCCUUCGCCAGAGCCACAGCAAUGCAGGAUCCGAGCCGUGUCUGCGACCUACACCACAGACCACGGCAACGCCCAUGGCAACGCCGGAUUCUCAACCCACUGAGGGAGGCCAGGGAUCGAACCUGCAACUUCACGGUUCCUAGUCGGAUUCAUUAACCACUGCGCCACGAAGGGAACUCCUGAAGAUUUUAACUACUGCAAAACUAAACCCCAAAAAUCAUCUCCUCACUAUAAGGUGUGCUUCUACUUUAAAACUCAUCCAUUGAAUUUCCCUCUUGAUAUCAAAAAUAAGUGCCUUCUGUCACCUCUCAUUCCCAAAGUCCUUUCCCAUCUUUUAAGAAAAACAUGCUUGGUGAGGCGCAAUUUUGAGUGCAAGUCCUGGAUCUGCUGUUAAAAAUCAGGUGACGCCAAACAAGUUUUUUAAUCUCCUUGAGACUCAUUCUUCUCAUCCAUAAAAUGGGACUAAUACUAGUACCCACCUCAUAGGUUAUUGGGAGAAUUACCUAUGUACAUAUCAUUAGGAAUAGUGCUUGGACACAUAGGAAGUGCUCAAUACAUGUUAUUCUUACUCUCUUUUCCUCUGACACACUGUGCCCAGCAGGCCUUUGGCAUUCAGGGCAGACAGCCUUGUGCUUUUGGCUGAUUUUUCUUAUAGGAUGUCCCUUGGCCAGAGGGCUGUCUUAUCUACCUCUGUGCACAGCGCAGGCCCUCACUUUGUGCCUGGUAAUUAGAGUGGGUCAUGUUGGUCAUAACAAACCACAGCCUCCAGCUACAAUUCUGCAUCCAUCUCAUCUUCUCCCGGAGUUGAGUUCUUACCUAGGGCGGCAGGUGCAAUUGCUGAGUGCUCCCCUUCUCUGCUGUGGGGUGCUUGGUGCCCAGUUUUGAGGGAUGAGAGCCUUUUAUUCUCCUCUAGGUUAGGGAGUCCCUCCUGCUCCCUGUGGCUGAGGUGGGGGGGCUGGUCUAGAAGGAGGGGUGGCACUAAAGCUUGUUUUGUUUCCACUUAGGAUUGGAGAGACUCUGUAUUCUAUAUAAAGACCUGCUUGGCAGAGAAGAAGCUGGCUCUAGAACUUUGGCUUCUAGAACCUUAGCCAGAUCAAGACAGUGUGGCGAGUUCCCGCUGUGGCACAGUGGGUUAAGAACCUGACUGCAUUGACUCGGGUUGCUGCAGAGAUGUGGGUUCGAGCCAUGGCCGGCACAGGGGGUUAAAGGAGCCGGUGUUGCCACAGCAGAGGCAUAGGUCUCAGUUACGGCUCGGAUUCAGUCCCUGGCCUGGGAAUUUCCAUAUGUCAUGGGUGCAGCCAUAAAAUUAAAAAAAAAAAAAAAAAGAGGUGUGCUGGGCAUGACCACGUGGGUUGACAAGUCAGGUUGUAGAUGUUUGUUUCUCGCGUUGUUAUUAUUUAUAUAUUUCCUGACUUCUUCAUCUCUAAGAGUCGGAUCUUUCUUCAGUCUCUCUGUCUUACACUAACGUGGCAAAAGGCCUUGCUAGCUGUGUGUGAUCAUUCCAUAUGCAUCGACUGACUGUCUGACAGAUUGGCUCUGGGGUCGCGACCAAGCUGGAUCUUGAGCAGAUCUUUAAAGAAUCUGUGAUCCAGCUCUUUGGAUUCCAUUAGAAAGACCCUGGUGAAGCUGUUCGCAGAUCACUCCGGGGUCAAUAAAAUCACACUGUGCAAAUGAGAGUCUUGGAAGUGGAGAGUGACUUGGGAUGGAAAGAGCUUCUAGUUCAUUUGGGAAGCCUUCCGGGUUUGGGGCGGUGUUGGGGUGGGGGGAGCGGGUGAAGCCGUAAUUAAAACGGAUGCUGUUUGACAAAGUGAGAGGAGGGUGUGGUUUUUAGGCCAUAACCACCCCCCCUUUCCUGAUUCAGGUCCUCACUUGAGUCACUCCAGAGUUCCCCUGCCAGCCCUGGGAACGUUCCCGUGUGUGAUAUCUCUCGGGAAGCCUGCUGAGUUUCCUGGAAAACAUCAUCCAGAGAGUCAGUCCUCCCCUCCUCCUCCCUCCCGUAUCUUUCUUAGAAACCCUACCUGUUUGCAGCUGGGAAAUGAAUGGAUUAGAGGUUGAGGAUUAAGCAAUAACCAAAUACUAGUUUUGGGUGCCCUGGUUAUUUUCUUGUCAGCGUUCCUUACGGCCAUCUACCCUCUGGGCCAGGACACAGUCAAACACAUGUGAGUCCAGCCCAGGGCAAGGAAGGCUGGGGGGCUCUUGGGCGAUCUGAUGUCUUGCUCAGCUGGCAGAGGAGGCUGGCGCAGCCAGUGCACUCAAGUCCUCAUCUUCCUCUUUCCCUCUUGGGACUUUGAGAAGGACUCUAAGCCGUGUGUCUCUGAUUCAUUUGCUAUGGACUCAUCAAGCUGGUGUUUGGCAGGAGUCCUUGGAUGUCUUGGAAAGGCUCUGGGGUUUGGUGUCAUUUGGGUUUUGUCAUGCGUUUCCUUUGAAAUAGGAAGUCUGCUUUUGCCAAGAAGAAAGCACUAGAUUUGAGAUUGGCUCAGAGCACAAGAAGAAAUUAAGAUUCUGUCCCUUGCAUUUCCCUGUUUUAAACUGUGCAAUACAAACAAAUAUUAGUAAUAUCUAACCUUUAAUUUUCUCAGUUGGGUCCUAUUAUUAUUCCCAUUUUACAAAUGAUAAAACUGAACCCAAAGAAGUCAAGUAAAUUGCCCAGUCCAUCUAGCUAGCCUUAUACAUCUAGCUAGCCUUAUACAUCUGCAUGGUGUCAAGGGCCCAUAGUACUUUGGGAGUCUUACAAAAAUGUUGCUUUGUUUUUUUUUUUAAAUCAGAAAAAAGGAGUUCUGUUGUGGUACAGUGGAAACAAAUCCGACUAGGAACCACGAGGUUGCAGAUUUGAUCCCUGGCCUUGCUCAGUGGGUUAAGGAUCCGGCGUUGCCAUGAGCUGUGGUGUAGUUUGCAGAUGCUGCUUAGAUCCAGCACGGCUGUGGCUGUGAUGUAAGCCUGCGGCUACAGCUCCAAUUUGACCCCUAGCCUGGGAACCUCCAUAUGCAG